GGGGAUGUACGGGGGAAAAUUGAAAAAGCAAGUGAAAGGCAUUGAGCUCAAAUAUUGUGAAAAGAAAAAUUCAUGAGAAAAAGAAAAGAAAAGAAGAAAAGCAUGAAGAAAAGCUCAAUGCAAAAGAAAAAGAAAAGGGAAAAAUUGGGAAUGAGAGACAUUGGUGAGAGAGUGGUGCUUAAUUGUUGAAUAUUUUGAGAGCUCUCUUGACUCAAGGAUUUUGCAUUCUAGAAAAACCAAUUUUUCUUGUUAGCCCAACCUCAUUACAAGCUUGGGAAAGUCCUUUUGAUGACAUUUGCAUGUAAAGAUGUUGAUUGUUUGAGAUGAAUGACAAUUUUGUUUUAUGUGACUUGUGAACAAUAGAGAGUGGAGUGUAACCUUAAACACUUGAGUGAUUGAGUGAAACACUUGCUUGAUUUGAACUGUUAAUUUUCAUG
rnacentral:lncRNA from 1 species